UAAUACGUAGGUGGCAAGCGUUGUCCGGAAUUACUGGGCGUAAAGCGCACGCAGGCGGUUUGUUAAGUCAGAUGUGAAAUCCCCGGGCUCAACCUGGGAACUGCAUUUGAAACUGGCAAGCUAGAGUCUCGUAGAGGGGGGUAGAAUUCCAGGUGUAGCGGUGAAAUGCGUAGAGAUCUGGAGGAAUACCGGUGGCGAAGGCGGCCCCCUGGACGAAGACUGACGCUCAGGUGCGAAAGCGUGGGGAGCAAACAGGAUUAGAUACCCUGGUAGUCCACGCUGUAAACGAUGUCGAUUUGGAGGUUGUGCCCUUGAGGCGUGGCUUCCGGAGCUAACGCGUUAAAUCGACCGCCUGGGGAGUACGGCCGCAAGGUUA
rnacentral:rRNA from 1 species